rnacentral:rRNA from 1 species
UACGUAGGGUGCGAGCGUUUAAUCGGAAUUACUGGGCGUAAAGCGUGCGCAGGCGGUUCGUGAUGUCUGGUGUGAAAGCCCCGGGCUUAACCUGGGAAUUGCAUUGGAAACUAGCGGGCUGGAGUGUGGCAGAGGGGGGUGGAAUUCCACGUGUAGCAGUGAAAUGCGUAGAUAUGCGGAGGAACACCGAUGGCGAAGGCAGUCCCCUGGGCCUGUACUGACGCUCAUGCACGAAAGCGUGGGGAGCAAACAGG